rnacentral:misc_RNA from 1 species
CCGGCUGCUGUGGAGCAGAUGCUGAAGGGAACCAAGCGCCAGCCGCAGGACGUGCUCAUGGUGAUGGAGCCCGGCUUCGGCUUGGCGACGGUCGAAAAAAUCGCCAUCAAUGCUGUCAUGGCUGGCUGUCGUCCGGAGCAAUUCCCAGUGCUCCUUGCCGCAAUCGACUGCCUGGCCGAGCCUCAGAUGAACCACCGGGACAUGCAGGUGUCCGGCCAUUCGGAAGCGCCCAUAAUUCUGGUGAACGGUCCGAUCGGCAAGAAGGCGGGGAUAAACUCUGGAACCUCGGCUAUGGGC